UCUGCCACGCUUGGAGAAUUGGGCCUCAGUUUUGGGCCGUUGUUGCUGCAGCAAGCACUGGCUGAUGUUGAUUGAAGAAGAAUAGGUCGCUGUUGUGCAUUGUUGCCAUUUGGAGCUGAUGCUGAUUUAAGAAGUAGACCGCUACUGUUGAUUGAAGAUUGGGCCACUGGCUGAAUAUUAGGCUUUAGUGGGACGCUGCCGUUUUGAGGUCUGAAAGUGGUUUGGGAUGAAAUUAAGUGGAACGACGUCGUCUGGUGCAUUAUUGUUGUUGUGGGAGUAAAGCUCGAAGACAUGUUUCAUUUAGAGCAAAGCACACUCGAGCAAGUCGUUUGGUAAAGGGAGAACACACCCAAAAGCUAGGGCUCCUGUGUGAGACGAAGAGAGGAGGCGUCCUGACCAAAGAUGACAACGCCAAGCUGGAGUGCAUCACCUGCCCGAAGAGAAGAUGAAUGAAGGAGCUGCCCGGAGAGCUGACCGGAGCUGAACUGGCAAAGAUGGAAGUUGAUCGGAGGGUUUAAAUAGAAGGAUGAACAGUGGCCGUCGAUUAUGAAGCUUCUCGAGCAAGGUUCCUCUUUCCCAUUUUUUUCCUUUCUCCACUUCUCAGACCCUAUAAAAAGGGCUUUCACCAUGUAAAUAGACACUUUAGAACACAUUACGCACUUUACUUUCAGUUUACAGUUCUCCAUUCUUUAGUUUAGGGUUUUAUUCGCUUUUCUUAGAGUAGAGAUACUAUUCUUGAUUCUGGAUUUCGCUGAUGAGAUUCUUGGAACUGUGACAAUCUGUGAGCUCCUCAUUCAGUGAUCUCUGGUAUAGUGUUUGUAAUUUUCCUUUUUCAUAUUAAUAAAAUUUGAUUUCGUGUUUUCCUUUUAUUCUUGUUUGUUGUGUUGAAAUUGUUCUAUGUUUUUUAUUUUUUCCAAUUGUUAUGUUCUGAGAAAAUGAAUUGGACUCUAAUUCUCUGCAUCUUUGCAAUUCCUUUUGGAAUUGAAUGACUCUGUAGUGAGCAUUCUUUAUUGAGAUGUCUUCUCGAGUCAGAGAUGAGUCCAAUGUAUAAAGACUCAUUCGGUUUUGUGUUUCUAUUGUUUUUCUUCUAUUAUUUAUGUUUGUGUGUUUUGAUUUGAGGAAAAUUGAGUUAAACUCGGAAAUCUGCACAUUUUAAAUUCCUUUUUGGAAUUAUACGACCCCGAGGUGGGCGUAAAUGAACAAGAUGUCUUCUCGAGACAGAUAGGGGUUCAACCAAUGAAAAAAUUAUUUUAAUUCAUGUUGUUUUAGUUGCUGUUAAUUAGUGUUAGUUAGGAAUAGGUUCAAUUGUGUUUCAUUUGUUGAUUUGGCUAAAAAUCAUUAAAAUUGAAUUGAAUCUGUUUUGUUUUGGGAAAUCAAUUGAUUGUUAUUCAUUUUAAGUUCUAGAUUAGAACUUGAGACCCCGAGGUGGGCAAUUUAUGAACAGGAUGUCUUUCUGUAUUAUAAUAAAUCAAUUGAUACGCCAUUUCAAGCAAAUUUAGUUCAGCUUUGUGACUUUUAUCCAACAACUUUGUUCUGAUUAGUAGUUUAGGUUGUGUUUUGUUCGUAAUGAUUAGAGUUAGUUUUGAUUUAUGAGUUUCUCGCUCUAUUCUUUGCUUUUAACCAUUAGUUCUAGGUGUUUCUUAUUGACUUUUCUUUACUGUAGAUUUUACAAUUCUUUCUGCAACAUUUAAUUUCAGUUACCUCAUAUUUGUACAUAUUCAUUUGGCUUUUAGGAUUCGUUUAGCUUUUAAAUUUCAAAUUUGAGUUUCUUGUUUCCAGUUCUGAUUUUAUAUCAUUUUAAUUGCAUUUAAUUUUCAUAUUAGUUUAAGUUUUUGUUGCAGUUUUAGAUAGUUAUAGUAAUUAGGUUUUAUUUCUAUUUUGAGUAGUCUAAACUGUUAUUUCCUUUUCUUUUAUUGCAUUUCAAUUUCUUUAUUCUUUUAACCAGAUUUUAGUUUAGACUAGUUUCAAUUCUUUUAUUUUGUUUAGUUUUAUUCAUUUUAAUGUCCCCACCUGCUUAGUAGUUAGUAAAUAAAUAAUUAGUAAAUAAACACAAGACCUUAACCAUACACUUUAAUCUUAAUUAGUUGAGUCCUAGGAUUGAUAUUCUGGUUGCCCUAUGCUACAUUAGUGGGGACCAGACUUUGUUAUGCCUUAGGCGACUAAAAGGCAGUUUAACAAAUGACGCCAUUGUCGGGGACUCGGUGAGUUAAGUCUUAAGGUGUUUAGUUAGUCUUGUUAGUUCUGUUUUAGUAGUCUGUGUGCUUGGUUUCUGUGUGUAUAGCUUGUAUAGUUUUUCUUUUCUUUAUUAGGUUUUUGCUUGAGUUUUGUACUAGUGGUCUUAGAGGUCUGAUUGGUGUUUUUCCAGUGAGCUUUGGUAAGCAUGAAUCACUACUCUGCAUAUGAUAAUUGCUCUUUUCCUUAUAAUGCUCAACCACCGAUAUUUGACCUAUUCUAUGAGCCUAUUUCUGAGGAUUUUUUGCAGCCAGUUAAUCAAGCUUUCCAGCAGCAACCACCACCUUGUUUUCUACCCUAUGGUGAGCAGCAAUCCUGGCCUAUGCAUCAACAGCUGCCACACGUAUACUGGGACCAAUAUGCUGAACCAGAGCAGGAGAAUUUCCAGUCAGAAUAGUCAUGGCAACCAUCUUGGAACCAUUAUGAUGCACCAGAGCAAGAGGAAUUCCAAUCAGUGCAGCCAUGGCAGACGCAAUUCUGUGAUAAGUGGCAGCGGGGAUUCCAGCAUCUGAUUUUCAAGAAAUGACCACCCAAGUGGCUCAAUUGGUAGCUUUGUCAACAAGCUAAUAGGGAGAGCUGAAGAAAAGGAGGCACUUGAUGCCAUUGGUGAGAAUCCUGAUGAAGCUAGUGAAUCUGCUGUGAGCACAGGUUCUGAGUUGCAACCAGUACAGAUGAUACACUUAAUGCAGGUACUGAUAUUGAGGAGGCUGCAUACAAUGAAGGCAAAAAGGUUACCCUGGUGGAGGCAAGAGAGGAUGUCAAUGCUGUUGAUUUGGAAGAUGAUAAACGCACUAAAGCAAUUUUUCUGGAUGAAGGAGGCAUAACUGAUGCUGGUGGCACACCUACAAGCCCCAUUCCAGUUUCAUGCAACCAACAACAGCCAGCACUGAAGGGGAAGCCAAGGUUGCUGCAACAAAUGCUUGAGCAGGAGAACUUCAAUGCAGCCAUGGAAACCUUACAAGAGGGAGCUGAGCAUGGAGAAAAACCAAUAAGAUCUUUCUUUCGCUUACUCUUAAAUAGUAGUUAUAGGUAUUUGAUAGUAGUUAGCAUAGUAAUAGGUAGUAUCAUAAAUAAUAGGAUAGAUAAUAUGUUAUUUUUCAUAAAAAUAAAAAGAAUUAACUUUGAUCUGUGGCCCAUUUGAAUAAAUUCUCUUUUUCUUGUAGCUUUGUAGUUUAGUUUAGCUUUUUAGUUCUGUUCUAUUGUGUUUACUUUUCUUAGUCUUGCUCAUAUACGUUGUGUGCUCUGUUGAGUUUAGUUUUCUUAGUUCUAUUAUGUUAUAUGCAUUCUUUUUCAAUUUUAGUUCUUUUUCAUAUCUGUUUUGAAUAAGUCUGAUGAUGUUUGUCAUGUUUGAUUUGUAUAUACUUGUUCUGUUCUUGUUCAAUUCUGGCUAUUUUUGUGUUUUUCAGUUUCUGUUAUGUAAAUAUUUGUUGUUGUUUGUCUUGUUUAUACCUAUUACAUAUGUCUGUGUUGAUAUAAAACCUUACUCACUCACACAUUGAGGGCAAUGUGCCUCUAAGUGUGGGGGUGAGAGGGUAUAGUUUAAAAUUUUCGUUUUCUGUCUUUUGUAAAUGAUGUUUGAUAUGUUCUGUUAGAAUAGGGAUAAUUUUUUUUUCUCUGAACUGUUUUUCCUUUAGUUUAGGUCUGAUUUGGUUUAGUUUUAAAUCCCUAGUGUAGAUUACUAUUUCUUGUUCUAAUCUGUAAAUACCUUUUAUGAUCUGUUUUAGUUUGUAAAUAGGAAUUUGUUCAGUUUUUAGCCUUGUUGUUUUAGUUUAGUUUCUUUUACUUUCAAUUCUGUUUUAGAACUUCUUUUAGGUCCCUUUUCUUUGCUUAUUUCUAUUAUUUUCUCUUCCUUUGUAGUUACUUGUUCUGUUUUAAGCUCUUGAUUAGUUUCAUGCUUUGUUUCAAGUUUUCAAUUAGGAUUUUGUUCAUAAUUAUGUUCUAUUUUCUGUCUAUUACUGUUUUAAAACUAUUUUGAACCUGUUUAUCUUUCUUUUUGUCAAUUCUCUAUUCUGGUUAUAUUGCAUAUGUCAGGUAGGUUAUAGAAAUAGGUUAGGUUUAUCUUCUGUCAAUAUAUUAGGUAGUUUAGGACUGAUUCUAGGUUCCUUUAAUCUCUAACUUUUAUUUUCUUAUUUUAGGUUCCUUUUAUUUCUCUAACCUUUGUUUCUAUUUUGUAGGUCCGUUUUAGGUUGAACAUGGUUGUGUCUUAGUUUGGUUUAGAUUUAUUUUUCCUUUUCCUUUUACUGUUUUACUUUGUUUUAGCUUGGUUUAGGUUCACUACUCUAUGUUUCUUGUUGUUUCUUACUUGCUCAUUUCUUUUCCAUUCUAUCGUUUCUAUUUGCAUAGAAGUUUUUGUUAGUUGUUGUUUGUAGAUUUGGUUAAAAAUGAUGAAGUUGAAUGGAAUCUGUUUUGUUUUGGUAAGUCAAUUGAUUGUUAUUCAUUUUAGGUUCCAUAUUAGAACUUGAGACCCCGAGGUGGGCAUAUUAUGAACAGGAUGUCUUCCUGUAUAAUAACAAAUCAAUUGAUACACCAUUCCAAAUAAUUUCAGUUCAGGUUUAUGAUUUUUAUCCAAUGACUUUGUUUUGUUUAGUGUUUUAGGUUAUGUUUUUAAAUCUGACUUCCAUGAUUAGAUUUUAGCUACUGUUCCUGCAUACUUUAGUUAGUUUCUGCUUGAUAGGAUUUAUGUUAAUAGGUUGAUUGAGAUAAUAGUAGAAUAGGUUUCUGAAUCUGAUCUUGGUUAGAAACAAAAGUUAGAGUUGGAUUUACUGUGGUUUGGUGAAUUGAUUGGAAGAUCACAUAUUUUGAGUUCAUCAUAUGAACUUUAAGACCCUGUGAUGGGCUUAACUUCCCAGGAUGUCUUCCUGAAAAGUGAUCACACAUUCUUUGCACUGAUCCGCAUGGAUUUGAUUCUAAUUUCUGCUCUAACUAGUGUUUCUUGCUUUGUUUCUUUGAUUUUUCGUUUUCCUGUGAAUAUAGAUUAGAUACAUUAGCUUAGAUAAUGAGAUUUUCUAUUCUUUCAUUUGGUUUUGUUAUGUGUACAUAUCUUUCAUUUUUGCUGAAUUGAUUUCAUACAUAAUUUGAUUUCAUAGCCAGUUUAUUUCUAGUCUUCUUUUGUCAUUGUUUCAUAGCAUUUAUAGGUUAGUUUCGUUACUGUUUAGAGUUGUAUAUAUAGAUUAUAUAGUUUAUCUUAGGUUUUAUUUUCUUACAUUUUAUUUUCUUCUUUUCUUUUUAAAACAUAUUUCUUUUCUCUUUUCUUUUUAAUUUUCUUUCUUAUAAUUUCAUUUAAUGUCCCCACCUUGUUUAGCUAGUUAAUAAAUAAUACAAGAUCUAACUUUACAUUUUAUAAACUUGAUUUUCACUCAGUCUACGGAUUGAUUCCCUGGUUGUCCUAUACUACAUUAGUGGGGACUAGGGUUUGUUGACUUUUAGUGCAACCUAAAAGCCUGUUAACAACAACCUUGUUGAUGAAAAUGAAAAGCUUAAAAAAGAACUUGAAAUUGCUUUAAAAUCUGCUAGUAAUGCUAAAACUGAGAUCAAAAUUGCGGAAAAAGAAUGUGUAAAUUGCCCUGUUCAUAUUGAAAAGAUAGAAUACUUGACCAGCACGCUAUCUAUCUUGGUAGAGAUAAUUUGGAAGUUGUGUUAAAGUCACAAGGUAGGGCAAUUAACAGGCAAGGUAUUGGUUAUAAGGCUAAGAGCAAUAGAAUUAAUUCUAAGAAAUUUAUUGAUCUGAGCAAACUUGUUACAAAUGCAUGUUUUUAUUGUAAUACCAUUGGGCAUUCUGUUAGGAAUUGUUACUACAGAAAGGUUGGUGUUACAAGAGGAAAGUACAAGUGCAUUCCAAAGGAACAACCUCCUGUGACUAACCAUAAAGGCCCCAAGUUUAUUUGGGUACCUGCAACAAAAACUUUUGUUUGUUUUGCAGGAAAGUAAGCUGCUACAGAGGCAGAGAAGUGCUCAAGGAUGGAAUUCAAUGGAAUAAAUCACAAAUUCUUGAGUAACUCAAUGUGGUAACGAAAAAUGUUAAAUUCAUGCACUCAUGCAUUAUAAGUUUUUGUAUGUGAAUGAAUGAUGUGUGUAUGAUUGAUGAAUGCAUGUCUGAUUGAUAUUUUUGUAUGUAAAACUAUUUUCACGACUUUUAAUCGGUUAUGUUAUAAACGAAAUCGAUUAGAGUUUCUAUGUGUUUCCCUGGUUUGGUUGAAUCUGAUAAAAUUGAAAUCAAUUACAAAUUUAAUAAAAUCGAUUAAAAAUCCUGAUAUGAGUUUUUCUGCUUUUUUAUUUUCAAAUUGAAACCUGAUGAAAUCAAUUGUGUUUGCAAAUGGCGCGAAAGUGGAAAUUGUUUAAUUUCCUCCAAAUUAUAUUUCUAACCUAUAAUCUCUAAACCAAGAAGCGUGUCAAUAACAUUUUCUCUACAAACUCUAUGAUCUUUCCUUCAUGGGAUUUCUGAAAUUAGUCUGUUACAUUCUAUAUCUAUGGCUUCUUCUUCGGCACAAAAGAAGAGGAUCAAAACUCUUGGGAGGAAGAAUAUGUAUAGAGGACCUACCCUUGAUGGGUGGAUCAGCGAUGAAAGUGGUCAGUCAAAUGUCUUGGACAACUAGAAAAUGAGAAAAUUGAUUGCUCACAAGUAUGUUAAGUUGAGCUUCUUCAGAAGAGAGGGAUUCAACUUUCCAGAGUGGUUUAGCAAACAAAGGCUGAAAAAAUUCAUCAAGAUGGCAGAUCCCUGGUAUCCCGAACUGGCAAGAGUUUUUUAUUCAAAUUUGAAGAUAAGGGAUGAGACUCCAUGUUCUAGAGUGAAAGGAAUAGACAUUAAGCUAACUGAUGAAAUUUGGAUUGAGAUAGCUGGUCUCAGACUGGGUGGUGAAAAAUGUCAUCUGGGUGUGGAAGGAUUCCACAAGUUCACUGUUUAUCAGGAUUGUUUAAGGAAUCCAGAUGAAGUAAGGGAUUACUCCCACUAUAAGACGAGCAACAUGAAGAAAGAUGAUUGCCUAUGUGCAUUCAUCAUCUCAUGGAUUCUAAUGCCUAGAGGGAGCAACCACGCUCAAGCAACUACUGAGGACUUAUGCCUCUUGUACGCUCUAAAAGAGAACAUCCAAACUGAUUGGCCUGCAACUAUAUCAGAAAACAUGCUCAAGGUGACUAGACUUGAGUCUGAAAUGCUACCCUACUGUGUCUUUAUCUCUAGAAUAUUGAUCCACUUUGGUGUGGAAUGUGUUAGUGAGUCUUAUGAAUCAUAUGGAAAGAGUAAUGUGAUAGAAAAGUCCACAUUACAUCAUAUGGGACUACAACAUGGUCCAAAUGACUGACUCUUCAAGGAUGAAUACGCAGAUGAAGAGGAAGAAGCAACUGGCUCAUCAUUAAUCCCUUAUCGACCUCGUUCUGAAUUUGAAAAAUACAUGGUGAAGGAGCUGUGCUCUCUGAAAAUUCUCUGUUAGAACACUAGUCAAGAUGUUAUGGCAAUCAAAAAGCAUUUGAACAUGGAUGGUUCUGAUGAGGAAAAUAGGGCUUCAGAAGAGAGUGGUGAAGAAGAGAGUACUGCCAAAGGGAAUGAAGAAGAAGAAGAAAGUGAAGAGGACAAUGUUGUGGAAGAAAGUUCUAGUGACAUGUUAAUCUAUAACUUGAAGAAAAAGAAAAGAAUAUAAAAAUUGUUACUAAAGUUUUUUUUACUCUGCUUUCUCUUGUUUUGUAAUGAAUGGCCUUACAUGCCAUAUAUUUUACUUCGUCUUGUUCUAAUCGCUUGGACUAUGAAUGAAAAUUAUAUUUCUGGUUAUUAAUCAACUUGUGUGAAUUGUGGUUGACUGCAUUGAGCUGAUUAAUAAUAAAUUCAAUCACUAGUAUGUAUGUAUGUAUGCAUUUUUCAUAUCUCAUUGUUACAUCUUGUUAUUGAAUAAUCAUACAUAAACUGUGAUAAUGAUUAUUGUACUGCAUAAAUACUAAAAUGCUUGAUCUAGAUGAAUUUGAAAGGUUAUGCAGGAAUAUUGAUUGUUGGCUGAGCUAAAAGGAGAAAUUCACAUUACUGUGCAACAUGAAAUCGAUUAAAAGGAAGCAAUAAUUGAUUAUGAUUCGUCAAUUGGUUUGAAGUCUCCAAACCUCUGAUUUUCAUAUUUUUAACCUUGACUAAUGAUUAGUGAUAUAUUUGUUCAUAAUAUAUCUCAAUAUGUUUAAUAUCUAAGUUGCUCUGAUACUGUAAAUGUAAUUUUGUAUGGUACAUUGAACAUAUCUAGAUGAUACAUACUCUAUUACAUCUCUAUUAUGCAUAUGUAAUAAUGAAAUUUGAUGUGCAUAAUGAUACGUACUCUAUUACAUCUCUAGGAGGAGUAUUAUAUGUUAUUAUAUGUUGGUUCAAAUGUUGAAAAUGCUAAAUUCAUAUGAAUAUUAUUGAAAGGGGGAGCAUUAUUAUAUUUCUGACAAUUUGUUUGAUGCAUCUCUACAUGAUUUAUUAACUAUGUUUCAAUUACAUCAUAUUACAUAUCCUUUUUUGCUAUUGAAACUUGAUUGAGAUAAUUGAGCAUGGUUGAAACUGUGUAAACUGUUGUUGAUUAUCUACUGUUCAAACAUGGUUUUGUUAAUCAUGGUUGUGCAUCAUCAAAAAAGGGGAAGAUUGUUGAUAGGGGGCACUAUGAUAGUUGAACCUAAUCCCUGUGAUAGUGAUUUUUGAUGAUGACAACACAUUGAUAAUAAAAACACAUGAAUAUAUACUGAGGUAUAUGCCAUAUGUUGUAUGUGUUUAUGAUUAUUGUGAAAUAUGCACAUAUUGUGAUUGUCACAUGUGUUGAACAUAUAAUGUGUUGAUUGUUGCAUAUUGUGUUAGUAAAGUGAUCAUAUCUGUGUAUGCAUACUGUAUGUUUUGGUGAUAAGGAAAUCAUGUGCACAAAAGCAUAUAUGAAUGACUAAAUAGAUUACAAAAGUGUGAUAAUCAAUUCAGGUCAUCAAACAACUUGUGUUUUUAAACUGAGGCAAAACAACAUGUUUUGAAUCGAAUACAUUAAUUAGUGAAUAAGUUAAAACACGGAUGUUUGCAUAUAUAUUUUUAAAUGUGUUGUGUUGUGAAUUGGAUAGAAAAAGUUUUCAAAAAUGUGCUAAGUGUUGAAGCUUAAUUGAUUACAUGGAUUAUAUAUUCAAUUAAGUCUGUUAUUGAUUUGAAAAUUGUUUUAUGCUUGUCAUAACUGUUUCAACGGUCAUAUUUUUAAAUGUGUUGACUAAGCAUUAAAUGGAAAUCGAUUGCAUUAAUUGCGAAUUCAGUUAAGGAGCUUAAUUGGUUAUAAGUCUGUUACAAGUAUUUAAUGUAACUAAUUAGAUUAAAAGAGUAAUCAAUUAAAUUACGUCUGAAUUAACUAAAACUAUAUAUAGACGCAUUAAUUGGAUUUUUGUAAGACAAUUUGAGAUUAAAAUUUUCAUAUCUAGUUUAGAUUGUGCUAAAAGUUUCACAGAGGUUAUCAAACCUCCUAGAAACUAGAAAUUAAAGUGGUGGACCAUUCUUGAAGAUUUCUUGAGAGACAAGAUUGACUGAUUUGAAGAUUCUGAUCUUUUUGCACAACUGAGGUGUUUGCUGUGUGAUUAGGAGAAGUUUCUCAAUCUGUGUGUUGUACUGCCCUGUGCGUGUUGCUAGGAAGAAGAACGAGGAGUUCUUGUACUUUGAGAGGGUUCUCAAAGGGGUGACUACAGGAGAGGAUUGUUCUUGCUGCAGGUCUUUGCAGUUGGCUAUAUUAGAUUAGUGAGUUAGAUAGGUGAUUUACAUUUUGACAGUAUGGUCGCUGUAAAACCCUUGUUGUAAAAACUCAGAUCUCUAUAGUGCAAAUUGGCUUUCAAUCUUAGGUUGAUUGAAAGGAUAUUGGAUGUAGGCAUUGAGGUCAAACUAGUAUAAAACUCAAACUUUGAUUUUCCUUC